rnacentral:rRNA from 1 species
CCUACGGGAGGCUGCAGUCGAGAAUCUUCGGCAAUGGGCGAAAGCCUGACCGAGCGACGCCGCGUGGAGGACGAAGGCCUUCGGGUUGUAAACUCCUGUUGGGGGGAAACAAGGGCAACUUGAGUGCACCCCUGAGGAAGCACGGGCUAAGUUCGUGCCAGCAGCCGCGGUAAGACGAACCGUGCGAACGUUAUUCGGAAUCAUUGGGCUUAAAGGGCGCGUAGGCGGCGUCGUCAGUUCGUGGUGAAAUCCCAUCGGCUCAACCGUGGAAUCGC